rnacentral:rRNA from 1 species
GUGGGGAAUUUUGGACAAUGGGCGCAAGCCUGAUCCAGCAAUGCCGCGUGCAGGAAGAAGGCCUUCGGGUUGUAAACUGCUUUUGUACGGAACGAAACGGUCCUGGUUAAUACCUGGGGCUAAUGACGGUACCGUAAGAAUAAGCACCGGCUAACUACGUGCCAGCAGCCGCGGUAAUACGUAGGGUGCAAGCGUUAAUCGGAAUUACUGGGCGUAAAGCGUGCGCAGGCGGUUAUAUAAGACAGAUGUGAAAUCCCCGGGCUCAACCUGGGAACUGCAUUUGUGACUGUAUAGCUAGAGUACGGUAGAGGGGGAUGGAAUUCCGCGUGUAGCAGUGAAAUGCGUAGAUAUGCGGAGGAACACCAGUGGCGAAGGCGACUACCUGGACUGAUACUGACACUGAGGUGCGAAAGCGUGGGGAGCAAACAGGAUUAGAUACCCCAGUAGUCC